GGUUAAGCGAUUAAGCGUACACGGUGGAUGCCCUGGCAGUCAGAGGCGAUGAAGGGCGUGCUAAUCUGCGAUAAGCGCCGGUAAGGUGAUAUGAACCGUUAUAACCGGCGAUACCCGAAUGGGGAAACCCAGUGUGACUCGUCACACUAUCAUUAACU
rnacentral:rRNA from 1 species